UACGGAGGGUGCGAGCGUUGUCCGGAAUCACUGGGCGUAAAGGGCGCGUAGGUGGCUCAUUAAGUGGUCGGUGAAAUCCCGGGGCUCAACUCCGGGGCUGCCGGUCAGACUGGUAGGCUAGAGCACGGUAGGGGCAGAUGGAAUUCCCGGUGUAGCGGUGGAAUGCGUAGAUAUCGGGAAGAACACCAGUGGCGAAGGCGUUCUGCUGGGCCGUUGCUGACACUGAGGCGCGACAGCGUGGGGAGCAAACAGG
rnacentral:rRNA from 1 species